AAUAAAUGUAGUUUUAGCAUUAUUCAUGUUCAAUGUUUGACUGUUCGUCUUAUUUGAAAAAAGAUUAUGAUUAGUAUUUUUAUUGUUAUAAAAUGAUAAAACAUGAAUAGUACUUUAUGUGUGACUAAUUUUUUUAAUAUUUUUCAUAAAUUUUUCAAAUAAGACGGAUGGUUAAAGCGUUAAACACGGAUAUCUAUGGCUGUACUUAUU
rfam:Oryza nivara chromosome 2, whole genome shotgun sequence.